AUUGAACGCUGGCGGCAGGCCUAACACAUGCAAGUCGAGCGGGGUUUUCGGACCUAGCGGCGGACGGGUGAGUAAUGCGUAGGAAGCUACCCGAUAGAGGGGGAUACCAGUUGGAAACGACUGUUAAUACCGCAUAAUGUCUACGGACCAAAGUGUGGGACCUUCGGGCCACAUGCUAUCGGAUGCGCCUACGUGGGAUUAGCGAGUUGGUGGGGUAAUGGCUCACCAAGGCGACGAUCCCUAGCUGGUUUGAGAGGAUGAUCAGCCACACUGGGACUGAGACACGGCCCAGCCUCCUACGGGAGGCAGCAGUGGGGAAUAUUGGACAAUGGGCGCAAGCCUGAUCCAGCCAUGCCGCGUGUGUGAAGAAGGCCUUCGGGUUGUAAAGCACUUUCAGUAGGGAGGAAGGGUGUUGUGUUAAUAGCACAGCAUUUUGACGUUACCUACAGAAGAAGCACCGGCUAACUCUGUGCCAGCCGCCGCGGUAAUAC
rnacentral:rRNA from 1 species